GAUGAAGAACGCAGCGAAAUGCGAUAAGUAAUGUGAAUUGCAGAAUUCAGUGAAUCAUCGAAUCUUUGAACGCACAUUGCGCCCCCUGGUAUUCCGGGGGGCAUGCCUGUCCGAGCGUCAUUACAACCCUCAAGCUCAGCUUGGUAUUGGGCCCCGCCGCUCCGGCGGGCCCUAAAGUCAGUGGCGGUGCCGUCCGGCUCCGAGCGUAGUAAUUCUUCUCGCUCUGGAGGUCCGGUCGUGUGCUCGCCAGCAACCCCCAAUUUUUUUCAGGUUGACCUCGGAUCAGGUAGGGAUACCCGCUGAACUUAAGCAUAUCAAUGAGCGGAGGA
rnacentral:misc_RNA from 1 species